UACUGCCUUUCAGGCCAGGGAGGUGGGGAGGGAAAGGCCCCUCUCUCCUACUGACAUGUCCUGCCGUCAGAUUUGCAAUCUGUUUGUUUCAGAGUUUCUGUGCAAUUCCGCCUUCCAAGGCAGCCUCAGGAAAACGAGUAGCCUUUAUGCAUUUGUUGUGUUUCCUUAAAUGAUUGUUUAGUCGGGAGAUGUUGCCAACUUCCUGAUGGGUUAUUUCUGAAGCUGUGCUAGAGAGACAUGCUUCCUUUAUUUUACUUAAGGAAAGGGAGACCGGCAGACGAGAAGCAACCGGCUUGGGAGAGAGGUGGACUCUUCAAUCUGUAGCAGGGGAGUUAAGUCUUGUGGGCUGCAUAACUAAAUUCCCAGAGUGAUUUCCAUAGAUUUCCCUUCCUAUUUCCUGACAUGUUUGGGAUCGCUGGUGUCAGCAGGGGGAAUAACAAGUCAAAUGAGCGGCAGAAACACCAACAGACUUACACUGUGUUGCUAUAUGAACCCGAAUACAAACAACAACUUAAAUAUUUAAAAGGAACAAAUAUAGCCUAGUGUUUUACCCAAGGUGUAUAUUGCUGAGCUCUGCCACAAAAUGUCAAAUCUUGUGGCAUUUUCAGUUGCGGGAUUAUUAUUCGUAGACCUGUAGAGAUUUCUAACUUACGUUGUUUCAAAGGUCGCAGCCAACUUAAAUCAAAGUCUUGCUGUCUUUUAUUUAUCCUAGUGCCAUUCUGCGGAAUGGAGAGUUUCUGUUCAUGAUUGACGUCUUAGGGGCAAAUUAGCCCUAACGUUAAAUCUAGUAUUUGCAUUGAGGCGGCAGGUUUAAAAAAAACCAAAAAAAACCCCGCACAUGAGAUGCAAAGAUUUAUCUGCUUAUAUUAUUGAUAUCUUCUUGUUUGCCCAAAGACCUCAGGGUGGGUUACAGCAAUUAAACAUUGUCAUAAUCAAAUAUUAAAUCAGGUAAAAGCCACCACCAACUAACUGUAUUCUGUGUCAUGUGUUGUUUUCCUCAAUAUAUAACUUUCCCUCUUCA